rnacentral:tmRNA from 1 species
GGGGGCGACCUGGCUUCGACGUGGGUCAAGAAGCGACGUGGUGCAUACCGAGGACCAGUCACCUCGUAAAUCCAUCUGGAAAUCUAUACUCGCCAACGACGAGCAAUUCGCAGUAGCCGCUUAAGGCUACAGCCGCUGCACUGGAUCGGUCUCUGGGUCAGGUGGGGAAACCCGCAGCAGCGUCAUUCACAGAGACUCGUGCCGCAUCGGGUUACUUGGUGCGGAGCUAAACUCAAGGUGACUCGCCUCGUGUCGGCCUGCCGGUCGGCUAAGCACGGGGUUAAAUUCAAAUAGAGCGGCUAAGUAUGUAGAUCCAGUUGUGGAAGUCUUGCGGACGCGGGUUCGAUUCCCGCCGCCUCCACCA